CCUACGGGAGGCAGCAGUGAGGAAUAUUGGUCAAUGGGCGGAAGCCUGAACCAGCCAAGUCGCGUGAGGGAUUAAGGCCCUGCGGGUCGUAAACCUCUUUUGCCGGGGAGCAGAGGUCCGGACGUGUCCGGGCCGGGAGAGUACCCGGAGAAAAAGCAUCGGCUAACUCCGUGCCAGCAGCCGCGGUAAUACGGAGGAUGCGAGCGUUAUCCGGAUUUAUUGGGUUAAAGGGGUGCUUCGGCGGGCAUUUAAGCCGGCGGUCAAAUGUCGGGGCUCAACCCCGGCCUGCCGUCGGAACUGGGUGCCUUGAGUGGGCGAGAAGGAUGCGGAAUGCGUGGUGUAGCGGUGAAAUGCAUAGAUAUCACGCAGAACCCCGAUUGCGAAGGCAGCAUACCGGCGCCCUACUGACGCUGAGGCACGAAAGUGCGGGUAUCGAACAGGAUUAGAUACCCCUGUAGUC
rnacentral:rRNA from 1 species